UACGUAGGGGGCGAGCGUUGCCCGGAAUCACUGGGCGUAAAGGGAGCGUAGGCGGCCUGUUAAGUCGGCUGUGAAAAACCGGAGCUCAACUCCGGUCCUGCGGUCGAAACUAGCAGGCUUGAGGACGGUAGAGGGAGACGGAACAGCUGGUGUAGGGGUAAAAUCCUUAGAUAUCAGCUGGAACGCCGGUGGUGAAGACG
rnacentral:rRNA from 1 species